UACGUAGGUGGCAAGCGUUGUCCGGAUUUACUGGGCGUAAAGCGUGCGUAGACGGUAGCGUAAGUCGGGUGUGAAAGCCCCGGGCUCAACCUGGGAAUUGCAUUCGAGACUGCUCUGCUAGGGUGCGGAAGAGGGAAGCGGAAUUUCCGGUGUAGCGGUGAAAUGCGUAGAUAUCGGAAGGAACACCAGUGGCGAAGGCGGCAUCCUGGACCGACACUGACGCUGAGGAGCGAAAGCCAGGGGAGCAAACGGG
rnacentral:rRNA from 1 species